rnacentral:rRNA from 1 species
AUGAAGGAGUUGGGACUGCGAGAGGAAGACCUUGAUGAUGUGGUGUUUGAUGAAAAGGAAGCAGCACUGGUGGCUCCUCGCUGGGUCACUCUUGCAAAGGUUCAUACCAUCAAGACGUACAGUCAAUACUGGUUUUUUCGCAAUAUGCGGGCAGCGUGGGAUCUUGCCCAAGAGGUACAAUUCAAGCCUUUGGAGGAUAAUCUCUACUCAGUGCAAUUCUCCUACUUAGGGGAUUGGGAGAGAGUUACACGAGAUGGGCCGUGGCACUUUAGGGGGGACGCAGUGAUCCUCAAGCCAUAUGACAGGAUGACAAAGCCUUCGACGGUUCAACUUGAUAGUAUUCAAAUCUGGGCACAAAUCCAUGAUGUGCCACCACUAUAUGCAUAUCUAGUGUCGUCCCUUGUGGCGAAGGUGGGGGAGGUGUUGUCCGCAGAGCCUAUCUCAUGGGAUUUUGCGGGAAAUUUUCACCAUGUGUGGCUGAGGAUCAAGGUCGAUAAGCCGUUGAAGAACGUUGUUUCCUUGAUCCGAGAUGGCAAGCGCCAAAUCUACAGGGUAAAAUAUGAGAAACUUCUGGAUUGGUGCGCCGUAUGCGGCAUGUUGGGUCACCAGUACAAGGAGCAUGGCACCGGUAUACAUCCACCUUCUGCUUUGGUCUUCAAGGACCUGAAGGCAACCUGGGCAAUGCGUAACAGCCAGGGGCCGGGCGGCGGACGAGGCCAUAGGGGCGGAAGCUGCGAUGGCUAG